UGGGGAAUUGUUCACAAUGGGCGCAAGCCUGAUGACGCAACGCCGCGUGGGGGAUGAAGGUCUUCGGAUCGUAAACCCCUGUCGAAUGGGACGAAUAGCCCGCGAAUUAAUACCUCGUGGGAAUGACGGUACCGUUAAAGGAAGCCACGGCUAACUCUGUGCCAGCAGCCGCGGUAAUACAGAGGUGGCAAGCGUUGUUCGGAAUUACUGGGCGUAAAGGGCGCGUAGGCGGCCAUCUAAGUCAGACGUGAAAUCCCCCGGCUCAACCUGGGAACUGCGUCUGAUACUGGGAGGCUAGAGUUUGGGAGAGGGAUGUAGAAUUCCAGGUGUAGCGGUGAAAUGCGUAGAUAUCUGGAGGAAUACCGGUGGCGAAGGCGGCAUCCUGGACCAAUACUGACGCUGAGGCGCGAAAGCGUGGGGANCAAACAGGAUUAGAUACCCUCGUAGUCCCUGAGCGGGCUGGCAAGGC
rnacentral:rRNA from 1 species